rnacentral:rRNA from 1 species
AUUGAACGCUGGCGGCAUGCUUUACACAUGCAAGUCGAACGGCAGCAUGGGCUUCGGCCUGAUGGCGAGUGGCGAACGGGUGAGUAAUGCAUCGGAACGUGCCCAGUCGUGGGGGAUAACUACGCGAAAGCGUAGCUAAUACCGCAUACGACCUGAGGGUGAAAGCAGGGGAUCUUCGGACCUUGUGCGAUUGGAGCGGCCGAUGUCAGAUUAGCUAGUUGGUGGGGUAAGAGCCUACCAAGGCGACGAUCUGUAGCGGGUCUGAGAGGAUGAUCCGCCACACUGGGACUGAGACACGGCCCAGACUCCUACGGGAGGCAGCAGUGGGGAAUUUUGGACAAUGGGGGCAACCCUGAUCCAGCCAUGCCGCGUGCGGGAAGAAGGCCU